rnacentral:misc_RNA from 1 species
AAGUCGUAACAAGGUUUCCGUAGGUGAACCUGCGGAAGGAUCAUUAUUGAAUGAAUGUAGAGUCGGUUGUAGCUGGCCUUCGGGCAUGUGCACGCCUUCUCUUUCAUCCACACACACCUGUGCACCUGUGAGACGGACGCCCGAGAGGGUUUCCGUCUGCUCUACAUAAACACUAUAUAUUUAAAACGAAUGUAAACGAUGUAAACACAUCUUUAAACUAAGUUUCAACAACGGAUCUCUUGGCUCUC